rnacentral:lncRNA from 1 species
ACAAUGUGAAAUGAGCUCAUUAAGAGUCCAUUUCUCCUUCAGACAGUUGUAACUGACCUUAAACUGAUUAAACUGUGCAGGAAGAGAGAUCAAAACUAAGUACACAAGCAGUUCCUCAGGUAAUUCCAGCUUGAGUGACUUAAGGUUCGAAGCAAGAUGAGACAUUUCCAAAAUGUACUCCCUUAUGUUUCCCUUGCCUUUAUACCUCNN